rnacentral:rRNA from 1 species
UCAAUCAAUAAGCGGAGGAAAAGAAACCAACAGGGAUUGCCUCAGUAACGGCGAGUGAAGCGGCAAAAGCUCAAAUUUGAAAUCUGGCUGCUUUUUUAGUAGUCCGAGUUGUAAUUUGAAGAAUAGAUCCUUGGAGAGGCGCCUUGUCUAUGUUCCUUGGAACAGGACGUCGCAGAGGGUGAGAAUCCCGUUUGGCGAGGUGUGCUGAUCCGUGUAAGGGCUGUUCGACGAGUCGAGUUGUUUGGGAAUGCAGCUCUAAGUGGGUGGUAAAUUCCAUCUAAAGCUAAAUAUUGGCGAGAGACCGAUAGCGAACAAGUACAGUGAUGGAAAGAUGAAAAGAACUUUGAAAAGAGAGUGAAAAAGUACGUGAAAUUGUUGAAAGGGAAGGUUAUUAGAUCAGACUUGGAUUUUUUAUUAUAUUUGUCUCCUUGUGGGGCAUUCACUAAUUUUUAAUCCAGGCCAGCAUCGAUUGGGAUGGCGGGAAAAAGAGGGAGGAACGUGGCUGUGCAUUUAUGUGCAGUGUUUAUAGCCUUUCUUAAUACCGCCUGUCUCGAUCGAGGACUGCGGCAAAUUUAUUUUUGCCUAGGAUGCUGGCGUAAUGAUCUAUUUGG